AAGGGUAUAGCUCAGUGGCAGAGUGUAUGCUUAGCAUGCUUGAGACCCUGGGUUCAACCCCUAGUACCUCUA
rnacentral:tRNA from 1 species